CUUGGCGACCAGCUCUCUUUCUUCAACGAAAUCGACUUCCUCGUCAUCCCGUUUUAUUAACUUCUCGGAGAUAACAAUCGGUUCUUGAACUAUUAAAGUUUCUUGCACAAUUUUCGGUUCCUGGAUACCUUCUGACCAGAGUUGGUAUGUCUCUCGUGACAUGAAGUUUAGGAUCCGCAACCUUCCUCUGCAGGGAAACUUCAUCCAACAACCAAGGUGCUUCUGCGACUAUUUUAUAAAGACGAUAAUUGAAGUAUAAUUUAGAUGAAGAAUUUUAUGUGAUUUUCGAAAUCAUUGUCAGUAUCUCUUAUCACUUAUUGAGGUUAACAAAUGUGACAGUUUGCGCCGACUUGUGCCUACAUUUGCUUGAUGAACUGGUAGAGAACUUUGACAAAUGAAUGAAGAAAUGGACGGACCUCAAAACGAAAUCGAAAGUGUCCCUGAUUAUUUGGACAGAAACAUAUUUCCGAUCUUAUUGAAUGCAAUGGAAGAGAUGUUAAUCGAAGCUCAUCGCCGAGAUGCUCUGGAAGUAUAAUUUACAUCAUUAUUCUCAAUGACUCUCUGAUUGUCUGCUCUAAAUCAAGGGGAAGUUACUAUAUUGUGCAGAGAGGGCAAAUGUUUCUUCAAUGCAUUGGACUGCCUCGCGGAGAUCCUUUGGAAUCGCAAUUCGCUUCAUCCGAGUAGAUCGUGUACCUGGACGAGUGUUUUUAGCAUACCACAAUUUAAACUAUGGCUGAGGACGCAAUUAUUUCAGUACUCUUUUAUCUCCUUCGAGUCCUAGACCAAUUUAUCCGAAGUCAUGGCUAUGGACCAAAGAAGAGGCUGCUUUACGCAUACAGAGAUACACUCGCGGUUGGCUCGUUAGAAAAAGGUCGGACGUUCAGGAAAUGCGUCAGUUUUGGAAGAUCAUUAGUGCAGAGAGAACGGAACUCUUCAUCCCUGAAUCUGACCAUACAUCCAAUAGAACAGGCUGUUAAAAGCUGAUCUGUGACUGCUACCUUCUUUAUUUCACUUCUUACAGUGCUUUUUGUCGUAUUACUCAUGAGAAAUAAUUUAAAGGACGAUUAAUUUUUGUUUUUA